AGCAAUGUUUUCUCGCAACAAAAUUAAGGAAUUAAAAACACUUCGAAUAUAGGAAGCAGCUCCAGUCUAAGAGGGAUAUUUGUUAUACGUGUGAGUGUUACAACAACAACAACCCAGUAUAAUCUCACUUAGCGGGAUCUGGAGAGGGUAGUAUGUACACAGAUCUUACCCCUACCCUUGGAUAGAGAGGCUGUUUCCAAAUAGACCCCCGACAUCUUUCCAUCCAAGAACUUCCCACCUUGCUCUUGAGGAGACUCGAACUCAUAACCUCUCGGUUGGAAGUG
rnacentral:lncRNA from 1 species